AGCUAAACUAACAGGCUUACUUUUUCAGCAGCAACCUUGCAAUUAUGUGCAUUCAAACUACCACACAUGUGUACCACCGGGAUACAUUGGUACAGAUCGGAGAAUA